GUCCCAUGGGCUCUCCAGGAGAGAGAAGGAAGUGGCCCCGGGCUCAGGGCCCAGGGUGGUUUGCCUUGUUCUUGGUUUGCAGAACGCUGUCCUCGUAAUGACUUGCUCCGGGGGCAGUGGUGGCCUCUAAAGGAGAAUGUUUCUGUUCCCACGAAAGGAGGACCUGGUCCCAGCUGAGGGAGAGCCUGGAGGAAGCAGAGCCUCUGUCACUCAGGAUCCAAGAUCACUGAUGUCUCAGAUGCCCAGGGCCUGAGCACUGCGGGGACUACAGAGCGCCAUGCCUCAGUGCAGGGCCAGGUUUGCCGGGGCUCCCAGCCUUCCCCUGCUCAGAGCAACGACCUGCCUCACUAAGCAGCGGACACAGCGGUGGUCAGCCACCUGUGGGGAGGACACCUGUGGACAGACGCUGCGGGGCUCAGUGAGGAUCUGGUCUGGGAUUUCCCCAAGGAGGAUUGUGGGUCGGAAUUGGAAGAUGAAAUAGACAUGGGAAUCCCUGGCCAGGUGAGAAGCAGGACUGGUUUCUUCGGUGUCACGGGAGGGGCUUCUCCUAAAAGAUAACAUAUACUAAUAAAAGAUACACAAAUAUUAGUAUCUCUCCUCCUUUUUUUGGGGGGGGGUGUCUGAGGACUGACCCCAGGGCCCUGGGCAGUGCUAGGUGAGCACUCCACCACUGAGCCACACUCCAGCCUGUCUCAUUUUACUACUUAGAUGGAGGAUCACAAGACAUGGGGAAGGAAAUCUACCAAGUGAAAACCAGAAUGGGGUGUAUUUUAAAAUUGGCACAUAUAAAGAUGAAUGGGGGAGACAAAAGCAGCAAAGAAUGUGGACAGGAAACCCCAAAGAAACAAAGCAAGUUUUAAAGCCGAUGAUGAGAAGUUUGUGCUCCUGGGCCCUCAUGAUUCCUGCCUCCUGAUGGGGACCGACUGUUCCUCGGCACCAGGGGACCCGGCUUGCUUGGAGCCAGCAUGGAUAUUGUCCAAGCCAGAGCCAAAGAUUUAAACCUGAGCACGGUCCCUAUCAGAAGUUCUCACCCCGCCACAGUAGGACCCAAGAAGUCAGCUGUGCACUGAGUGACUUGUAUGGAGCCAUUACCUGUAAGUGUUACCACGAUCCCAAAAGAUUCAGACCCCAUUGUGGUUGACAACCUACACCCUCAAUAAGGACAUUCACUGGGCUGGGUUGCAUAGCACAGGCCGGAAUCCCAGUGACUCGGGAGGCUGAGGCAGAAUUACAAGUUCAAGGCCAUUCUG